GUAAUACCAGCGUGGGACUGUGCAAUUCUCGGAUUGGGAAAGGGAGGAGUGGAAAUAACCCCGGCAGUGCCAGGCUUGCUGGUGGUCAGGAACAGAUGAUUCCAGCCCUGUGCUGAUCGCCUGCCUUCCUCCUGCCAUUCAGAAUGCUGCUGUCUCGUGUACAUACUGUUAAGGAUCCUGGAAAAGGGAGUGGUUCCUCCUAGCUGCAAACAAGGGCGCUACUUUUCUUUUCUCUUUUUAAUAGAAUUACGUUUUAUAGGUGUGUCUAGGCAACACAAGGGAAUGUGAAAGACUUUCAGAGGGAAUGUUUGUGAAUACAUUUGGUGUGUACUAAAAAGCUGGAAAACCCCUAAGUAAAUGCAAUAUCGAUAGCGAGUUUCUUGAAGAGUCAUCUGCUAAACUCCACUAGAGUCAUCUCUACAGGUGUGGUUAAGAGAAAAAAAAAUUGCCAUUAAGGAAUCAGCAAAUAGGAUGUCUGAAGUGAGGAUAGAGCACCUAUCUCUGAGAUCAAAGUCAUCUGACCAAAAAUGAUGCCUCUGAGACCAUAACAAAAGAAUGAAUAAUGAAAUAUAAGAAUAGGGAUUCUGCACUAACUCUAUGGGGAAGAAAACAAUGUCUCUGUUCAUCAUGAGAGAUGCUCAGUGACUGUAGAUAUAAAUAGAAAGCCUUCAAUUAAAUUUUCAAUGAUGGGAUAGGAACUGAGAAGUCUGCGGAGUUUUCUGCCUAGGAGUACCCUUGGAAAAGCCACUUCUAUGCCCAACCAGCACUGGGAAUCCUAGAUCACAUGCAAUCAUAGUAGUUGCCCUGGAGACAAAAGCUCAGCACAUGUUCUGGUACA
rnacentral:lncRNA from 1 species